rnacentral:rRNA from 1 species
CUACGUGCCAGCAGCCGCGGUAAUACGGAGGAUGCGAGCGUUAUCCGGAUUUAUUGGGUUUAAAGGGUGCGUAGGUUGUUCGGUAAGUCAGCGGUGAAACCUGAGCGCUCAACGUUCAGCCUGCCGUUGAAACUGCCGGGCUUGAGUUCAGUGGCGGCAGGCGGAAUUCGUGGUGUAGCGGUGAAAUGCAUAGAUAUCACGAGGAACUCCGAUUGCGAAGGCAGCUUGCCAUACUGCGACUGACACUGAAGCACGAAGGCGUGGGUAUCAAACAGGAUUAGAUACCCUGGUAGUCCACGCAGUAAACGAUGAUUACUAGGAGUUUGCGAUAUACCGUCAAGCUUCCACAGCGAAAGCGUUAAGUAAUCCACCUGGGGAGUACGCCGGCAACGGUGAAACUCAAAGGAAUUGACGGGGGCCCGCACAAGCGGAGGAACAUGUGGUUUAAUUCGAUGAUACGCGAGGAACCUUACCCGGGAUKAA